rnacentral:rRNA from 1 species
AUUGAACGCUGGCGGCAUGCCUUACACAUGCAAGUCGAACGGCAGCGCGGGAGCAAUCCUGGCGGCGAGUGGCGAACGGGUGAGUAAUAUAUCGGAACGUGCCCAGUAGUGGGGGAUAGCCCGGCGAAAGCCGGAUUAAUACCGCAUACGACCUACGGGUGAAAGGGGGGGAUCGCAAGACCUCUCGCUAUUGGAGCGGCCGAUAUCAGAUUAGGUAGUUGGUGGGGUAAAGGCCUACCAAGCCUGCGAUCUGUAGUUGGUCUGAGAGGACGACCAGCCACACUGGGACUGAGACACGGCCCAGACUCCUACGGGAGGCAGCAGUGGGGAAUUUUGGACAAUGGGCGCAAGCCUGAUCCAGCAAUGCCGCGUGCAGGAAGAAGGCCUUCGGGUUGUAAACUGCUUUUGUCAGGGAAGAAAUCCUCUGGGUUAAUACCUCGGGGGGAUGACGGUACCUGAAGAAUAAGCACCGGCUAACUACGUGCCAGCCGCCGCAGUAACAC